UGUUAUGUAGCGAAGUUGGAUAACGCGCCCUGCAUAGCGAAUUGGGAAGACGUGGGUUCAAAUCCCACUAAAGCUA
rnacentral:tRNA from 1 species